AUUAAGAAUUUAUUUUUAAAAUUUUUCUUGUCUUUUAAUAUUUUUAUUUUUCAAAAUUGAAAUAAAUUAGAGUGUUACCUGGAAUUUUUGAAACUAAUCACUUUUAUUUAGCUCAUAUAUCUGCAGAUUAGCAAAUAAUUUUUUGUUAAAGAACUGAAGCAAACAGUAAUUGAGUACAUUCAGGAAUUAAAAAUAAUUUUUCCGUUUUUACAUUAAGUAGUUUUGUAGCGUUAUUUAUUUCUUCCUUUUAAAAAAAGAAAACAUUUUUAAUGAAAAACAAUCUGUAGGUACUGUGAUUUUAUUUUUGAGUCUGAUGUAAAAAAAAAAAAAUACUAUGUAGAUGCUAUGAUAAUCAGCAGCGUCCCAUGUAGUACUGAAGGCCUGCCUGAUGUUCAUACACACACACAUCUAUACAUACAGAAGAUCUUUAUAAUAUAUACCUUGAAACAUGGGGACUUUUUUAUUAUAUUAAAUUCUGUGUUUUUUAUAGAUUAUUUUAUAUUAAUACUUCAAAAUAAUUUUUAAAUAGUUUAAAACACAAAAAUCAAUAUUUGAAAUAAAAUCUAUGAAAUUUAUAGUUUUUAAUUUGCUUAAGGGAUUGUUAAGUUUAUGCGGUACAAGGAUAAUUAUGUUAUAUAGAUAUACUGUAUAUAUAUACUUAACCAUGUUUUAUUGUAUAAAUAGUCAUAAAAUUUGUGAUCCAUUGACAGAAUUUUUGUUUUACAAUAAGAUCUGAGGAUUUAAUAAUUAGAACUAACAAAAUUGUUCAAGAGAGGGUUUUUAAAUAGCAUUUUUGGUGAAGAGAACCCCUGUUAUGUUUCCGUUAGUUGUGCUGUUAUUUACUGUAAAUUAUAGUUGUGAAGCAAUAUCAAUGUAGUGAAACAAUACUAAGGAAUAGUUUCAUGUGAAAAUGUAGCUGUUCCAAGCUUUUCAAUUAAAUAAUGCAAUAAGUCUCAAGAAAAUACUUUCUUAGAAUAAAUAUAGCUUUUUCUUACGGAUUUCCCACUUUCAAAAAUGCAGUGGUUGUUACAAUUUAUCUUUCAGAAAACUCGAUCUCUGUAAUUUUUUUGUGUAAUUCAAUUAGCCUAAUCUCCACUAAUAGUUAUGCUAGUUAAAAUUUUUUGCAGAAAACCAUAAAAUGUAAUGAGCCAAAUUAUGCAGAAAAUCAUUUUUAAUAAUUGUGUUAAUAACUAGUGCUCUACUACUCUCGAAUUAUGAUACGUAAUUUGUCAACCACUGAACUUAGUGCUGACAAGAAUGAAAAAUUUAACAACAGCAAACUAGCAGAUGUUAUCUUCACACCUGGAUCAAAAGCCUUCACUGAUUAUAAUAAAACUGCUAUCUUUCACAUCAUGACUUCAUAAAAUGAUAACUGCCAACUCUACUCUGGAUUUUCCAAUAGGGUCUAUUGGUUAAAUUAAGAUUCUUCUGGUUUUUGUAUAUUUAAGAAAAUUCCCUAAAAUUGAGUUUUGCAACUGAAACUGAGGGUACAAUUUUGAAGUUUUUAAUUGGGAACCGCACAGCAAACAAAUGCUCCUUUUGCGACUACGUUUCUUAUGAUGUUGCUCAAGUGAAACGACAUGUGCGCAAGCACACUCUGGAACGCCCUUUUGAGUGCAAUGUAUGCAAUAAAACCUUUUCUCUCAAGGGUAAUUUAAAGAAGCACAUCAUAAAGCUGCACCAAACAAUUUCAUCCUGAUAGCCUUCUGAUAUUAUCUGUAUAUUUUAUGUUAUAUUGAAAAUAUUGUUGUUAUAUUUGAAAAUAAAUUAAAAUUUUGUUUCU
rnacentral:lncRNA from 1 species